rnacentral:rRNA from 1 species
GAUGAACGCUAGCGGCAGGCUUAAUACAUGCAAGUCGAGGGGCAGCGCAGUGUAGCAAUACAUGGGCGGCGACCGGCAAACGGGAGCGGAACACGUACACAACCUUCCUACAAGUGGGGAAUAGGCCAGAGAAAUUUUGAUUAAUACCCCGUAACAUAGCGAUGUGGCAUCACAUUGCUAUUAUAGCUUCGGCUCUUGUUGAUGGGUGUGCGGAUGAUUAGUGAGUUGGCGGGGUAACGGCCCACCAAGUCUACGAUCAGUAGCUGAUGUGAGAGCAUGAUCAGCCACACGGGCACUGAGACACGGGCCCGACUCCUACGGGAGGCAGCAGUAAGGAAUAUUGGACAAUGGACGCAAGUCUGAUCCAGCCAUGCCGCGUGAAGGAUUAAGGUCCUCUGGAUUGUAAACUUCUUUUAUAAGGGACGAAAAAAGGUCUUUCUAGAUCGUCUGACGGUACCUUAUGAAUAAGCACCGGCUAACUCCGUGCCAGCAGCCGCGGUAAUAC